GCAAGAAUACUGCAGUUCCUGACCCAGGGAUCGUGGUAAGCCCACCCCCCACCAAAUGUUUGUCCAAUAAAUCACUGUCUUCCCCGUGUGUGAUCUCAGGAUGGGGGUCAGUGUGCCCCCUCCUCCUCCACGGGGCCCUCCCUCCUGCCAGGGUUACAGUCUCCUCUCUGCUCAUCCUGUCAUCCCAUUAUCCCAGAUUGCACCCUGGUUUUGGGGUGUCUUUUAGCUCAGCUGGACUCAAAGGAGAAGGAUGGGAAAUGCGGUAAGGGUGCAAGAACUCUGAGAGGGGCUGGGGGUUAAGUAGAAACGGUCGGAGGAGACGAAGCAGAAUGGUGCAGAGCCCAGGCAGAGACGCAGCCACGUCCUAGCAGUUCUGACAUGACGACAACACCGCAUUGUCGCAGCUCUCACAUUACGGGCAAUUUGAGUCUGUCACCUGUCCUGAAAUUACGGUAAUUUGGAUUCAUUUGUAACCUUCAAGUUAUGGUAACAUGGGGUUGAUUUCCAGCCCUAAGAUUACGGUAAUUUUUUCUGUUUGCUUCCUGGGGUGUCUGCUUACAGCCAGACUGACUCUGUGCAAUGGUGAGAGGGUGGUGGGCUUUAGAAAAGUCCGUGUCAGGGAGGGGAGAGGUUGAAGGCCUCCCUCCAGCCAGGCCACCAGGUUACCUUUGGCGCGACAGGGGAUGUCCACCACCUUUUCCAUCUCCGCUGUGAUGUGUCUCUCUGGCUCCUUGACAAACUGAGGUGGCUCUGCAGGAGGAGGGACCGGGGGAGGGGAUCAGAGCCAUGCUCCUGCUGAUAUGGCUGCUGAUCGGGUCACUCGUGCUGCCCCUUCACGUCGGGAGGACUCCAGCACUCCCACCCCGUCUCACCCAGCACGGACAGGUAGGCGCCACGGAUGACGGAGGGGACGCUGCUGCUCCGCAGGACGGCCUCACACUCGUAGUAGCCGGCAUCGCUGGCCGUGGGGUUGGGGAUGGUGAGCCGGCGGUUGUAGUCGCUGAUGCCGCUAGACAGCAGCGCCCCAUCCUUCUUCCAAAUGAUGUGCAGCUUGAUCAGAGGCCUGGACGGGCCGAGGGACGAGGCGGUCAGCUACAGAGCCUCCCAGGGGCUCGGGAGGCAGGGCAGGGCAUAGUGAGGCAUGCAGGCGCCAGGGGCCGGGCGCCUGAGUUUGCCCUGCCCCUGACACUUCCUAGGUGCAGGCCGUUGUGUGGGCUAGUCCUUCAGGGCUCUGGGCCUCAGUUUCCACGUCUGUACAAUGGGGACAACUAUGCCCUGCUCCCCGGGGGUUGUGGUGAGGGGAGACCUGGCCCCAUGAUAACUCGUGCUCGAGGGCUCUCGAGAGCCAGAAAUUGGCCCUUCCACGUGUCUCUGCCUCCGCUCUGCCCCGUCCAGUGUAAGUCAGUGGAUGGGAAAGUGUGGAAGUCCGGAAAUGCACAUCCGGGGUCUCAGUUGCAGCAUGCAGGAAUCUUUAAUUGCAGCAUGUGGGAUCUAGUUCCCUGACCAGGGAUCGAGCCCAGGCCCGCUGCUUUGGGAGCGUGGAGUCUUAGCCACUGGACCAGCAGCAAAGUCCAGCUUUCCUCUUGCCCCCGCCUUCAUACAAGGAGGCCGCGGCAGCAGAGGCGAGCAGCCGCUCCCCAGGCUGCUCUGGAUGUUGGACGUGAGUGGACCCCCCACCAACCCCAGGUGUCCUGGGCCGGGAUCCUCUCCUCUCGGGUGGGCCCUGCUUGCGUCCGGCAGCUCUCUGACCACCAGCCCAUCACCCCUCCUCCAGGCUAAAUACCCCAUCUUCUUUCAUGGGUCCUCACAGGACAUUUCUGGACCUUUGUGAAUUCCACCUGGUCUCCUUGGAGCCCUCAUCAGGAGCGCCCGCUGGGGUUAAGGGGGAGGGGCGGAGGCAGGACCCACCUGGCAUUGGCCACACACUCCAUAGUCACCUCCGAGGUCCCGGCCACCACGCUGGUGUUCUUGGGAGGAAUGAUGAUGGCUGGAGCGAUGGGGUCUGCAGGGCCGCUGACAUCUGGGGAGAGGAACAGACGCUGGGAAUCCCAUCUGAGCCCCACCCGCGCCAGAGGGACGCUGUGGGAGACCUCUNNNNNNNGGGGGGGGGGUGGGCAGACGCCUCGCAGCCCCAGAGCUGAGCCUCCAGGUGCUGACCCCAGGGACCCUCCCCCCUUCCAUCCUCCUCUGCUGGUGGGUCUCUGCACAGCAUCCAGGCAGAGCCCACGGGAGACCUCAGGAUGCAACCCACGUCCCCCCAUAAUGCAGCCAUGCUCUCCUCCUCAUCCCCUGUCCUGGCUUAUUUUGGCCUUCAGAAUCCUUCCUUCCAGCUGCAUAAAUGCCGUGACAAGGACAAUACGUUGUCAGUAAGCCGACCACAUCUCGUCAGCUUGCUUCUUCACCAGAAGAAGCUUGCCAUCUCUUCCACCAGAAUGCAAACUCCCCAUACUGGGCUGAAUACUGUCCCUCAAGUUCAUGUUCAUGACAGCUGUGAAUAUCCCCUUAUUUGCAGAGAGGGGCUUUGCAAGUGCGGUCAAGUUAAGAGGAGGUCCUGCUGCGUCAGGGUGAGCCCAAAGUCCAGCACGAUAAAACAGAUGACUACUGAGAACGUGCUGUACAAACAGGGGCCUCUAUCGGAGGCCUGUGGCCACCUGAACGGGAAGGAAAUCCAAAGAAGGGGGAGAUGUAUACACAGGGCUGAUCCACCUUGUUGCACAGCAGAGACUAACAUAAGACUGGAAAGCAAUGAUAAACUCCAAGAAAAAUUAACUAAAAAUGACACGAAAUAAAAGUGUCAGUCGCUCAGUCAUGCCCGACUCUUUGUGACCCCAUGGACUGUAGCUCACCAGGCUCCUCUGUCCANNNNNNNNNNNNNNNNNNNNNNNNNNNNNNNNNNNNNNNNNNNNNNNNNNNNNNNNNNNNNNNNNNNNNNNNNNNNNNNNNNNNNNNNNNNNNNNNNNNCAGGCUCCUCUGUCCAUGGGGUUCUCCAGGCAAGAAGACUGGAGUGGGUUACCAUUUUCUCCUCCAGGGGAAUCUUCCUGAUCCAAGGAACAAACCCGCAUCUCCUGUGUCUCCUGUAUUGACAGAUGGAUUCUUUACCUACUGGGCCAUUAGGGACACCCAGUAAAGGCAGGAGACUUUGCUGCUUUAUUCUUUGAGUCUUUU
rnacentral:lncRNA from 1 species